AGCUUUGCGCAGUGGCAGUAUCGUAGCCAAUGAGGUUUAUCCGAGGCGCGAUUAUUGCUAAUUGAAAACUUUUCCCAAUACCCCGCCGUGACGGCUUGAAAUAUAGCCGGCACCGUAGAGACUGAUAAAAAAUA
rnacentral:snRNA from 1 species